rnacentral:tRNA from 1 species
GAAGUAUAGCCAAGUGGUAAGGCCCCCGUUUUUGGUGCGGAAAAUCAAAGGUUCGAAUC